AUAAGACUGGCUCCUCACGGGCGCUGCCCGGUGCUCUCCACACACGGCCUCUGACGCAGCCGCUGCGGUGAUUACGGCUUCUCCGCGGGGAGAUCAGCUCUAUGGACAGUGUCCCCAUAACGAUGGCUCACCCUGUUUGACACCUCCCUGCACAGAACUUUGCAGCCAGGACCCGUCAGUCAAAGGGACUCUGCUUGCUUUUGUGUGAAAAGGGAGAGAGAACGGACGUGAAUUUGGAAAACGCGUUAUGUGCCUGCUGAUAUGUAUUAUCCUCACUUGUAAUCCUGCCAGCGUUGAAGGCCUUCCUGUGGAAAAGGACAGAGCUGCGCCUCUCAGGAGAAGAGAAGGCUGAGCAUCAUCCUUCCGGGUCACGUGCCUAGCAAGUGGCCUCAUGUCUGCCAGGGCGGAGCCUGCUCCUAACUCCAGCCCCCUCUGAAGCCGUUUCCAUGCCUUUCCAGAGCAACGUGCUAAGAACCACA